rnacentral:rRNA from 1 species
GUAGGGAAUAUUGCACAAUGGGGGAAACCCUGAUGCAGCGACGCCGCGUGAGUGAUGAAGGCCUUCGGGUCGUAAAGCUCUGUCGUAUGGGACUAACACAAUGAAGGUACCAUGCAAGAAAGGAUCGGCUAACUUCGUGCCAGCAGCCGCGGUAAGACGAGGGAUCCUAGCGUUGUUCGGAAUCAUUGGGCGUAAAGCGGGUGUAGGCGGAUUUAUAAGUCAGGUGUGAAAUCCCAGGGCUCAACCCUGGAAGUGCACUUGAUACUGUAAAUCUUGAGUGUGGUAGAGGUUACUGGAAUUGUUGGUGUAGUGGUGAAAUACGUAGAUAUCAACAGGAAUACCGGAGGCGAAGGCGAGUAACUGGGCCAACACUGACGCUGAGACCCGAAAGCGUGGGGAUCAAACAGGAUUAGAAACCCUUGUAGUCC